AAAUAUUUUAUUUAAAGAUGAAUUUAAUAAUAAAGAUAAUGUUAACAAAUUUGACAGACUUUUGAAACAAUAUAAAGGAAGUUUAAUAAACAAAGCAAAUAAGAUAUACUUGUACAUUGCAAAUAAUUUAAGUGAAAAUAAAAUAAAUAACAAUCAGGUAGAUGUAUCUAUGAAAAUAUCUAGUGGAAGCUUCUUGCAUGUGCAGAUUCUAUUGCUACAUGCAUUAUUCUCGAUACCGUGCUGCACAUGAAAACUCACAAAAUAGAUACAGACUCUUAUUUGCAUUUUGUAAAAUAUCAAGAUGAAGUGCGACCCUUGAUACAUAAGUUUGCAAAAGAUGUCUGUAAAAAAUGUUGUGACAGUAUUAUAGCUUUGAUUGAUUUGGACUUGAAAAAAUUGAAUAUGCAUAAAAACAAAGUUUUGAAGAUGCUUAUAAUUGAUUAUUUGCAUGGUAUACAUCCAGAAACUGAUAUUACUUUUGAGUUCUGUGACAGGUAUACUUUGGAAAAUCGAAAAGGUAUAAAAGUAAGCAGCACCAAACAUCUGAAAAAAAAUGAAAAACUCUAUAGUUUGAUUGGUUACUCAGGAACUUUGAAAAAAAAAUGACCUGAACGAUUCAUCUUUAAACGAGAUUUCUAUUAUGCAUAGUGAAAGGAAAAGUCAAAUUCAAAUUUAUUUGGGACCAGGAUCUUUUAUAAAUCAUGAUUGUAAUCCAAACACAAAAUAUGUUUCACUUACUCAUGAUAAAAUUGGAAUUCAGGUAUUAUCGGAGAUAAAAGCUGGAGACGAAAUUACCGUUUAUUACGGCGAAGAUUAUUUCGGAAUAGGUAAUGUGUGCUGCGAGUGUAAAACAUGCGAAAAAAAUAAAACUGGUGCUUUCACAAGAUAAGAAGAGAAAUUUAAAAUGUGAUAUGUAAAUAUAAUUUAAAUAAAAAAAACAUCUGUUAUGCAAACAUACGAA